GAGGGAUCAUUGCUGGAACGCGCUUCGGCGCACCCAGAAACCCUUUGUGAACUUAUACCUACUGUUGCCUCGGCGUAGGCCGGCCUCUUCACUGAGGCCCCCUGGAGACAGGGAGCAGCCCGCCGGCGGCCAACUAAACUCUUGUUUCUUUAGUGAAUCUCUGAGUAAAAAACAUAAAUGAAUCAAAACUUUCAACAACGGAUCUCUUGGUUCUGGCAUCGAUGAAGAACGCAGCGAAAUGCGAUAAGUAAUGUGAAUUGCAGAAUUCAGUGAAUCAUCGAAUCUUUGAACGCACAUUGCGCCCUCUGGUAUUCCGGAGGGCAUGCCUGUUCGAGCGUCAUUUCAACCCUCAAGCCUGGCUUGGUGAUGGGGCACUGCCUGUAAAAGGGCAGGCCCUGAAAUCUAGUGGCGAGCUCGCCAGGACCCCGAGCGUAGUAGUUAUAUCUCGCUCUGGAAGGCCCUGGCGGUGCCCUGCCGUUAAACCCCCAACUUCUGAAAAUUUGACCUCGGAUCAGGUAGGAAUACCCGCUGAACUUAAGCA
rnacentral:rRNA from 1 species